rnacentral:misc_RNA from 1 species
GGAUUACAAGCAGGCUAGUUAGAGGGAGAAGGAAGAAAUCUAGGGUUGGGACACAGCCCUGAGCAGAUUGAGGCUAACUAAAUAAAAUAAUUUUUAAUAUUGUUCCACGUGCAAGUGCACAUGGGCACGCAUGCACGUCUGAGUGGAAAGGGACUCGGUAGUUGGUUGAAAAAUUUUGUUUUAUGUUUACAUUUAAGAGCCACUGCCUUCUUAAGUCAUUAUGAAUGAUAACAAAGGGAAGGUUCUUUUUCACCUUCCAUCAAUAAAGGAUAAGCAUGGUAGCUAUCAGAAUAAAAAGAUAAGUACCUCUUUCAAGUCU